rnacentral:rRNA from 1 species
UACAGAGGCCCCAAGCAUUACCCGGAAUCACUGGGCGUAAAGGGUGUCACGGCGGCCUGAUUAGUCUCUUGUUAAAUCUGUGGGCUCAACCUGCAGCCGGCAAGGGAAACGGUCAGGCUCGAGGGCGCGAGAGGUAGAGGGAACUCAUGGUGGAGGGGUGAAAUCCGUUGAUAUCAUGGGGAACACCAAAGGCGAAGGCACUCUACUGGCGCGUUUCUGACGCUUAAACACGAAAGCCAGGGUAGCGAACGGG